UCCUACGGGAGGCAGCAGUGGGGAAUAUUGGACAAUGGGGGCAACCCUGAUCCAGCCAUGCCGCGUGUGUGAAGAAGGCCCUCGGGUUGUAAAGCACUUUCAGCGAGGAAGAACGCCUAGCGGUUAAUACCCGCUAGGAAGGACAUCACUCGCAGAAGAAGCACCGGCUAACUCCGUGCCAGCAGCCGCGGUAAUACGGAGGGUGCAAGCGUUAAUCGGAAUUACUGGGCGUAAAGCGCGCGUAGGUGGCUUGAUAAGCCGGUUGUGAAAGCCCCGGGCUCAACCUGGGAACGGCAUCCGGAACUGUCAAGCUAGAGUGCAGGAGAGGAAGGUAGAAUUCCCGGUGUAGCGGUGAAAUGCGUAGAGAUCGGGAGGAAUACCAGUGGCGAAGGCGGCCUUCUGGACUGACACUGACACUGAGGUGCGAAAGCGUGGGUAGCAAACAGGAUUAGAUACCCUGGUAGUCCACGCCGUAAACGAUGUCGACCAGCCGUUGGGUGCCUAGCGCACUUUGUGGCGAAGUUAACGCGAUAAGUCGACCGCCUGGGGAGUACGGCCGCAAGGUUAAAACUCAAAUGAAUUGACGG
rnacentral:rRNA from 1 species